rnacentral:rRNA from 1 species
AUGAUGAAGGGGGUGCCAGGCAGGCUCGUUGCAUCCACGUCCUCGCUAUUCCUCGCUAUGAAUAGUGCAAAGCAGCUGGCGAGCGAGCGAAAAAAAAACAAGCGAGAGAUAGAUCCCUGCAGCCACCGCAUGCUUCCUCCAUCUCUCCCCUCCCGCACCAUCCACUUCCUCCCUCUGCGCCGCCUCCUCUCCUCCCGAUUCGCCUCCUCCUCUCCUCCUCUCGCGCCUCCUCUCAUCUCCACCUCCUCUCCAGCUGUCGCCGCUGCGCCAGGGCCUCGCCUUGCCCUGCAGUUCCUCGUGCGCCUUCUCUCAUCUCCGCCUCCUCUCCUGCUGCCGCCGCCGCGCCAGGGCCUCGCCUCGCCCUCACCGCCCACUGGUGACCUCCCAGCCCUUGUUCUCCGCCUAAUCCUUUUGCUUCUCUGUACAGACACUGCUGCAUUUGUUGUCCAUUUUGCCAUCGUGAGCUUCAGGUAA